rnacentral:rRNA from 1 species
GACGGAGGGUGCAAACGUUGUUCGGAAUUACUGGGCAUAAAGAGCACGUAGGCGGUUCGCUAAGUUGGGUGUGAAAGCCCCCGGCUCAACCGGGGAAUUGCUCCCGAUACUGGCGGACUAGAGAUCGGUAGGGGUGAGUGGAACUCCAGGUGGAGCGGUGAAAUGCGUAGAUAUCUGGAGGAACACCGGUGGCGAAAGCGGCUCACUGGACCGCAACUGACGCUGAGGUGCGAAAGCUAGGGUAGCGAACGGG